UGCGUAAGUUUUCUCCUUCGGACAUUCAUGCGUACUCCGACUCAGACUGGGCUGGCUGUCCUGUUGACCGCAAGUCUACUAGUGGGUAUGCAGUGUUUUUUGGUAAAAAUCUUGUAUCCUGGGUCUCUCGGAAACAGCGCACCGUUGCACGCUCUUCGACUGAGGCAGACUAUAA